UACGAAGGGGGCUAGCGUUGUUCGGAUUUACUGGGCGUAAAGCGCACGCAGGCGGAUCGUUAAGUCAGGGGUGAAAUCCCGAGGCUCAACCUCGGAACUGCCUUUGAUACUGGCAAUCUUCGAGUCCGGGAGAGGUGAGUGGAACUCCGAGUGUAGAGGUGAAAUUCGUAGAUAUUCGGAAGAACACCAGUGGCGAAGGCGGCUCACUGGCCCGGUACUGACGCUCAGGUGCGAAAGCGUGGGAGCAAACAGGG
rnacentral:rRNA from 1 species